rnacentral:rRNA from 1 species
AGCGAACGCUGGCGGCAGGCCUAAUACGUGCAAGUCGAGCGAAUGAUGAGGAGCUUGCUCCUCUGAUUUAGCGGCGGACGGGUGAGUAACACGUGGGUAACCUGCCUGUAAGAUGGGGAUAACUCCGGGAAACCGGGGCUAAUACCGAAUAAUAAAAGAAGAAGCAUUUCUUCUUUUUGAAAGUUGGUUUCGGCUAACACUUACAGAUGGGCCCGCGGCGCAUUAGCUAGUUGGUGAGGUAACGGCUCACCAAGGCGACGAUGCGUAGCCGACCGGAGAGGGUGAUCGGCCACACUGGGACUAGGACACGGCCCAGACUCCGACGGGAGGCAGCAGUAGGGAAUCUUCGGCAAUGGGCGAAAGCCUGACCGAGCAACGCCGCGUGAGCGAGGAAGGUCUUCGGGUCGUAAAGCUCUGUUGUCAGGGAAGAACAAGUACGAGAGUAACUGCUCGUACCUUGACGGUACCUGACCAGAAAGCCACGGCUAACUACGUGCCAGCAGCCGCCGUAAAAC